GGGGGUGAUUGGUUUCGACUCCGGAUGUCGAAGCAGGAGAAGCGGGCCGAGGAAGGCGACGAUGAUCUCGUUAACCAACAACGUCGCAAAAAGAUAUAAGCGCCGAUACUCAUCGCGCUGAUCUCGCUCUUGCUGCCUAAGUAAGAAGCGGAUCUGUCAGCCCGGGUGUGCCUCCCGCCCGGAUGCUGGCAUCAGCAGGAGGCUCACUGCCGGUCCCGGCUGCGGGGACUGGUUGGACAUCUAACAGCAGCUGAGCCCGUCACACCGGCUCGCUCACAAGACCGGUGGGGCUGAGAAAGGCACUGUGAGCUGCGCCCGGAGAAGUCCUGUACAGAUGCCGGAGGACGCGGGUUCGAUUCCCGCCACCUCCACCA
rnacentral:sRNA from 1 species